UGGAGGCUGGAUCUUACGUUAGGAACUUUAAUCCUUGGGGCCAUAAGUAUUCUUAGGGGGCCGUCACUGUUUUAGCUUUGGUUAAAUUAAAUGGCACCCACCUGUUUAACAGGCAACAUAGGAUAACUUAUCCAACGACUAUUUGGCUUUCGC
rnacentral:other from 1 species